rnacentral:rRNA from 1 species
AGUAAAGUGGCGUACGGGUGAGUAACACGUGGGUAAUCUACCUUUUGGUGGGGAAUAACCCUGGGAAACCGGGGCUAAUACCGCAUAAGCCUGAGAAGGGAAAGCAGCAAUGCGCUGAGAGAGGAGCCCGCGGCUGAUUAGCUAGUUGGUGAGGUAAAGGCCCACCAAGGCAUAGAUCGGUAGCCGGCCUGAGAGGGCACACGGCCACACUGGCACUGAAACACGGGCCAG